AGCAGUGUGGCUCUAGUGGAUAGAGCGCAGGCCUGGGAGUCAGAAAGACCUGGGUUCUAAUCCCAGCUCCGCUA
rnacentral:tRNA from 1 species